UGAGGAACAUGACCUUCGGCGGGGGAUAGCCGGCCCAACGGCCGGGUAAUACCGCGUACGACCACAUGGGGACAUCCCUGAGUGGUGAAAGCAGCAAUGCGCCGAUGGAGUGCCUCGCGGCCUAUCAGCUAGUUGGUGAGGUAACGGCUCACCAAGGCGACGACGGGUAGCUGGUCUGAGAGGAUGGCCAGCCACAGUUGGGACUGAGACACGGCCCAGACCUGUACCGGGGAGG
rnacentral:rRNA from 1 species